GAGAAGGAUUUAGGGUUUGGAGAGGACCAAUUGAUCUGUGUCACGACAUUCCUUUCCUCCGCUUCAGAUCUGAAAAAUGUCGAGAACCGCCUUGAGUCUCGUCGCACUCCGCCACCUCCGGGCGCCUUCGCUUGGCGGCGUCCGUCUGAGUUCUUCUGAAGCCGCAAGCCCCAAUUCGAAACCCGAUGUUUAUGUCCAUUCUGAAGAGGAAGCGAAAGAAUUGUUCGAAAGCUGGUGCAAGAAGUAUAAGAGAGCAUACUCUUCCGAAGAGGAGAAACAGUUCAGGUUCGGCAACUUCAAGGAAACCCUUGCCUUUGUCACCCGCCGCAACGCGGACUUUGAUGAACCAAUUUCUAAAUGCUUCGGCACCAACAAAUUUGCUGAUUGGUCCGAUGAGGAAAAGAGGCGCCUCUGUGGGUUGCGUUGAUCAUGAUCUUAUUCUUACUUUGUUUGAAAAUCAGUUGACUUUGGCUAUUGGAACAAAAUCUUCUCACAGUAGAUGGCGUUGCUAACUGACAUAGCAGCUGCUGUACCAUAGACUCUACAAAUUUAUCUCAGUUGAAGUAUACAUGUGUUCGAGAGUGUGGGACAUGGAACCGUGGAGAGUGGAGGUGGUAGUUUGGGUGGAGAAGGCCUCUUGCGGGUACUUUUAUUAGCGAGCCCGGAUCCAAUUUUUAAUCGGAUUUGGUGGUCUAUUGCCCCCUCGAAUGUGAAGGUGUUUACUUGGAGGUUGGUGUUGGAUCGAAUUUCCAGCAAGGAGAUCCUGUGGAAGCGAAAGGUUUUGCAAUCACAGGAGGAGAUUACUUGCUCGGUUUGCGGUGUGGUUGCGGAGACAAGUGCUCACAUUGUCGUUUCAUGCCCUUUCUCGGUAGAUGUGUGGCGUGGGUACUAUCAUUGGCUUGGCGUUCAAACCGCCCUUCCAUUGGAGCCUCGUGCUCAUCUCUUGCAGUUUGUAUUUGGCUUGAAUAAAUUGCAACAAAAGUGUGCAUUUGCGAUUUGGUUGGUUGCAGCAUGGUCCAUCUGGCUCAAUUGUUUUCCGAGAUGGUGUGGCGGAUAUGUCAACGGUUAUGGAGCUGAUCAAGUGGAGGUCUUGGCAUUGGAUCAAGUCUAAGGUUGGUGGUUUUAGUUUCUCACUUUUUAAAUGGUCUACCCAACCAUUUCUUUGUCUGCAAGAGUUAUGAUUGUUAUCCGGUAUGGCAAUUGGUACUGUUUUUUUUGUGCUAGUUGUUGUAAUACGAAGGGUGAUCUUGGGAUUUUGAUGGGAAGUUGUGAUUUCGGUUGGCUGGAACUUGUUCGAGUUUGAUAAAGGAUAGUGCUUGUUUGAUGUUCCUACUGUUUGGUGAAUUGGAAUGGCUCAUGGUAGGCGUGUGAAAUUCAGAUUGGGAUAUUGGCUCUCUGGAAUGGUAUUUAGUGGUGCUGGUGCCAAUUGGCUUUUGAAGUUGCAAGUGUCUGUUUUCCCUAGUAUGUGUUAGAUAGUAUUUAGUUAAGUUUCUCAAUCAAAUAUGCAGGCGUGAAGUCACAAAGAAUAAACCUUGAAAAUGUCAUUUAUUAGUCGGGACUGCCACCGUAUCUCGAAAAGGGUUAUAUAUGUAUAUAAUUAGACUUAUGGGUCUCAAUCCUCAUAUAAUCCAAUCCAA